GCACAACCACGGGGCAAAAUGGCGGCGCCCACGAACGAGGAGGAUGCCGCUUUGGAGCCCGGCGCCGCUCCUUACGGGAACUUUCCCAAUUACUCCCGCUUCCACCCGCCCGAGGGCCGUCUCCGCCUCCUGCCCGGAGGACUUCUGCGGCGGCUGUUUCCCUCGGACGCCCGCCCGCUGCUGGGGCUCGACGUGGGCUGCAACUCCGGGCUGGCUGCUUUUGUUCUCCAGGAAGGUGUCAUGAGAUGAGACAGCUGGGAGCCCAGCUCCAUGGCACAGCAACAGAAGAAAGCCUGUGGAUCUCAACUGCUGUGCUUAUGAGGAAGCUGGAUCCUGAGCAAGCCCAGCAGAGGGACCCUUCAUGCAGAGGGGCUGCCUGGCCCCACACAUCCUGCCCCCCUCCCGGCGUUCCCAGCCCUGUUUGCUUCCUGCGUCAGAGCUCCGCCACCAGCUCACACAACAUCUGCCUGUGGCAUCGUGGCUGUGCUCUGGACAAGUUCACCUUUCCAAGCCUCAGAGAUAACCUCCCAUGCUGGAAAGAGGAACAUCCCCCUCUCUGCUGAGACUGCUGGAGGUGAGGCUUCUUCCAGACCCGUGACAGCCUUGUGGAAAUGCAGGUGUGAGGUGCCAUGCUGGGACUGGGAACCACUGGGCUACUGGCUGUCUACCAGUUUUGGCAGUGCUGGGAAUCCCACCAGUGACUGGGGAAUGUCUGGAGCUCCCUCCAGCUCCUGUUCCCCUAAACCAAAGGACUGAGGGAGCUCCAUUUCCCAACGGCUGAGUUCUUGGGCUGAGCCACUUCCACCCCUGGCAAUGAACUGUGCUGAUGGCAGGCUGGGAGGAGCGUGGCUGAAUCUGGAGGGGAUGGAGGUGUGUCAGAAAACCAGACAGCUGUCCAGCUACAGGUGGGAGCCUGGUUCCUGCAGAGCAGGUGUUUGUGUGCAUCCCUCCCACUGCUCAGGUGCAGAGAAGCCCACCUCACCUGCUUUCCUCUCCUUCCACCAGCUUCCUGUAAGUGAGGAUCUCCAAGUCCAGGGCCAGCUUGAUGUUCAUCAGCUCCUGAUACUCUUUCACCAGGUAUCCUCAGCAUUUGGUUUCCAGUGUCUGAGAAGCUUCUCAAAGGUGGAAGUUUUGGAUUGUGUAAAAUCAGGAAGGAAAAAAAAAAACAACCAAGAAAAUAGACUGCAUCGUGGCCUAUCUUAAAUGUAAACACAAUUUAUGAAGGAACAGAGGACGUGGCAAAGCAUUGCAUGGAAAACAGUGCCCACAGAGCAAAAGGUAACAGAAACCAGAUGGGACAGGGCGGAGUGCUAACAUCCAGCAAAGGAACCAACCCUGCAGGUGUUUAGGAACAGGUUUGAUAAGGACUAAGACAGCGAAGACUUGGUCCAGGGGCAAAUAUGCAUCCUGAAGGUUGGCAGCAGAGCCAGGAGGGUAGCUUAGGGAAUACUCCAGCCCUUUGGGACACAGGGUCUCUUCUGAGCCAGAUAUGUCACCAGCAGAUUGGUCGGUUUGCUGUACAGGAGGCCAGGAAUUUUAUGUGAUGGGUGCAGGGUGCACUAUAGGAGUGCUGAUGCUGCUGAGAGUGGAGGAGGUGGUUCUCUUAGAGAAGCCUGAGCUUCACUGCUCUUCCAUGACACCUCCAGCUCCUCUUACCCAGAUGUGCUCAGAGUGUUUCCAGGCUGGGAAUUAAAUCUUUGAGUGCUGCUUAUAAUUGUCAUCACAUUGGUAUUGGGAAGGCUGAGACGUUUAAGAACGAGGUGAAAUGGCAUCUCCUAACAGGGAGAUGAUAAUGAAAUCAGGAAUGGCAGCCAUUCCAUGGGCAGAUAGAGAUGGGACAAGGGGGGAAUAGCUUUGAACUAAAAGAGAGGAGGGUGAGAUGGGAUGUAGAGGGGGAAAUUCUUUACUCAAAAGAGGGUGAGGCCCUGGCAGUGCUGCCUGGAGAAGUGGAGGUGCCCCAUCUGUGGAGGGGCUCACUCCCAUGGAUGGAGCCCUGGGCAGCUGAUGGAGGGGUGGGAGCAGCCCAGGGCAGGGAGUGGGACUGGGGGGAGGUUUGGGGUCCCUUCCAACCCAAACCACUCUAUAAUUCUAUGCUUGAUUCUGUUCUUUGGCAGUCAGGUGUGCGUCACUCCAGUUAGAAGUGAGCCUUCUCUGCUGCUUCCUUACCAGAAAGAGGGGCAGAAAGAGGAACAAGCAAUAGAGUGCAGCCAGGAGAUUGCUUUGCAGGGCAAAAGGGAUAGGUCCUGUCCAGGAACUGAUCUGGAAUGUCAGAAACGUCUCCCUUGAGCUGCUGCUUUCUCCACAGAGGGGACAGUGAGGGCACAGAAGGAUCUGAUUGUCACAGGUCCUACAGUUGGACACUUGUAAGGUUCCCCCUAGGUACCCCAUGGUGUUAAACUCACCCUCUCUUUACCUGUUCUUAUAAGGCUAGGCAGCGUGGCUAGCAAGAUUUACCUGUCUGGUUUUUCUGCUCUAUAGCUGGAAUGUUAGCUGUGUUGCCAGUAACUAUGUACCGAGCUUAAUUACAGCCUGCCACUCUUCCUUCAUCCUCAUUGCAUCUCAGCCCAAUCCCAGUCUGUCCCAGCCUGCCAAAGCAGCUUCAAUGCAUUGCUGGGUGCUGACAUAAUCUCCCAUGUGGGGCAAACAACGCUCCUGACUGAAAGGGGAGCAGGCCAAGCCAGCCCGACGCGCUCACCGCACGGCUCCAGAGGGACCUGGCAGCCAGGAGGUGACUCACAUGGAGAUGGAGCCUUCUACAAACACACCACAGUAUUUAUCUCCUUCAAGGUAAUCCUCAAGCAAUCGUGCAUAAAAGGUAUAAAUCCAUCCUAUCUCGUUUCAGCAGCAUUUCAGAUGGGCGUCUGGUCGCCUUGGGCUCCUUCUGGAGUCAGUGGAACAAAAUCAGAGUUGAGCUGAGUCUCAGUCAGGCUACGUUCCCCUCUGGAUGUGCCUUCAAGGCUACCUUACGAGUGCUAGGAUGGAUCUGAGCCCAGCAGCAUAGAGCUACAUCAGUGUGUCUCCUGCAGAGCAAGAAAAUGGGAUAGGGAGCAGCUGAAGACCAGCUGUAAAGGUUGAAGGUAGAGGAGCCCUGACUGACAGUGUUCAGGGGGAAAACCUGAUUAUCACAAACGCUGGCUUUCAGACCUGGCCCCUCUGAAAGCUGUUAACUCUGUAUUUUCCUGCAGUAUUUCUCCAGUCCCACCCCAGAGUUGCUCAGUGCAUGCAAAAAUUCUGUGCCUUCUCAUUCAAAUGGGUUUUUGCAUGUGCAAAUUGCACGUGGGGAGCUGAAGCAAACUCUGGGCAGUCGCCCCUACUUGAGUAUGUUUCAGUUUUGGCAUGAUUUCCUAAAGAAGCAGCAUUUGAGUGAGACCCUGUGUCAGAUUUAACUCUCCCUUGUCCCCUCUCCAUCCUCUUAUGUCUUUGGAACCGUGACCACAGAUAACAACAGCAACCUAAGGAGGUUGGAAGAAGUGGAAGCAUCCCAGCUAGCUAAGUCUCCUUUUUGCAAAGCUUGCCCUGAAUAGAGGGGAAAAAAACACAAAUCAGAGUCCUUCUGAGGAUGCUGACAGGCAGAUUUCAUGUGAGCUGUUGGGCAGCAGCCUGCUUGCCUGGCCACUGUGUGCACAGUGCUCUAUGGAGUGCCAUAAGUGCCUUUAGAGCAGGGACAAGUGGAUAUCCUUUUAAAAUUGGUAGUGGAGUUCCUACCUUUUGCUUCUCCCAAAAUGUUUCCCCUGGGAAAAUAAACCUCUACAGGAGCUGGAAACCUCCAAAAUUUGCAUGGAUUAAGCAGCCCAUUUACUCCAGGGAAAAAAACAACUGGGCAGAGGCAGUCUUCUUGACUUGCAGGACUCAGCAGAGCUGGUGUGGGUUAGCAUGGGGCUGGAGCACUGCCCUGGAAAGCUCAGCAGAAGUAGCAGUGCUCUCCCCGUGGAUCACCAAUGGCUGAGGGCAGCACGGUAGGCUGUUGCUGUGGUAGAAAUCUACCUGGAUUUCUGCUGCCUGAUAAUGCUGUGCAUGUUUGCAUGCCAUGCUUUUAUCCCCCGUGUGCUGGGUGGGACGUGGGUCCUGUUCUUCAAAGCAGUCAUGAUUUCUGAAUUUCUAGCAGUGUAGCAUCUCUGCCUUGUCUGCUUUUCUGUCCAACUAGGUUUAAACUGUCCAAGAUCAAACAUCAGGGGGAAAUACACAGCCUGUUUGCAUACAUACCUCUACCCUUAAGAAAUCAGCUUGAGAAAUAACAAUAUUAAGUGCCAGACAUGGGCAAUUAGUAAGUUAAUUUGAGUACAAAUAGGAGUACAAACUGGGAGAGCAGAUGGAUGUGGCUGAUCUGAUGUCUCUCUACAAGCCUGCCUAUUUUCCUGGAGUAAGCCAAGAAGUGUCUCCUGUAAGUACAGAGCCAUUGCUUCCUGGGGAUGUGCAAGGAGGAGCAAGAGCUUCAGAGGGGUAUGGAGGUCUUAAACCUUUUGGGAUAGGGAGUAAAUGCUACAAUCCCUAUCACGUCUUUGAUCUAAGUUCAGGGUUGCUGUCUGUCAGCAAAGCAAGCAUCAGUGAUUCCAGGUCUUUAAGUGAAACCAACAUCUCAAAGCAGGAGCGCUCACCACAAGGAAUUUGGGUAUUUGCAGUGUAUUUGCAUCUGUUCUAUUUGCAUCAGUUCUAGAAGGAGGCUGAGCAUAAAUGCUUCCAGCAUAAGGUCAGGAACCAAACUCCUAAUUCCUUGUCCUGCUCUGCCAUCAGCUUGAGUAAACUUAACUGCUGCCCUGUUCUAUCUGUCCAUAAGGUCCUUCUGGAUACCUUAAUGGAGGUAUCAGUCUUUCCCCUGAUCUGCAGACGUGUUGAGCAGCUGGCUUAAUCAAAGCCUGCAAAGAUCACUGAGAUCCUUGGGCUAAGCUCUCUGGAGGAGGGUGCUGUCAUUAUUCACACAUCACAUCAUGCAUCAGGAAGAGGUGUGGGCUGUUACUUCAGAUGUCUGUCAAUGCCAGCAGAGGGGUUGGCCCUUAGCUUUGUUGUUCUGUUUUGACAGUGCCCACAGGUGGGUCCUCCUCACUGCAAAUCAACAUGGAAGUGCCUGAGAUCCUGUGUAGGCAAAUGGGUGUAACUGGAAGGGAAAGUAUCUAAUUGUGGAUUCAUCUGUGUGGUAUGCAAAUAACACUGAUAAUAAGAAAAGCAUUGUCUUCUUAAAUGAGCCGUGGUGCAUCUCAGAUGUUAUCUGAGGAUCUCAAAGCUGUUGACAAAAGCAGCAAUAAGCCCUCUGCAGCCAGUCCUCUCAAACUGUCAUCUGCCUCAAUAAGUUCUAUCCAGAGGUUUUCUGAGUGGGAAUUUGACCUUUAGGUGAAAACAGAACUUUGCUUUAAUUUCUGGGGGGAGGAGGAGGAAAAGAGGGGCAGUCUGUUAAUGCCAAGGAGUCCAGAUCCUUAGGUCGGUCUGGGGAGAAAGCUUUGUGAUAACAGUGUGGAUAAUAACUAAUUCUUUGUUUUAUUGGCCAUCAUUCCUGGGUCUGUCUGUGAUUCUGUGCUCUGACCUCAGAUGCCCCCGUACUUUCUACAGGUUACUUUAAUCUCUACUUAGGGAGAGGGUAGGAAGCCAACUUCUCAAAUACACUGUCCUCUUUUUCUCUGGGAAUAGCAUCCUGGCUGCUUCCAAUCAGUGCCACGCUACUCUUUGUCCCACAGCUCAACCAGCAUCUUGCAAACAUCCACCCCCUCAUACACGGAGCCACGUUGGACACCUACUUGCUUCGGAAGUUAUCCAUGGUGCUCAGGACCUCCGUCAACUCUGACUCGAGAUUUUCCUGCUCGUAGUUGAGUGCCUGCAUCUCUUGAUUCAUUUUGCUCAUGUACUGAUCGUAGAUGGCCUUCACGUCCGAUUCGGAGUGGGAAUUGUCUUGAUCCUUCAGGAAGUUCCACCGUGUUGUCAGGAUCUUGUUCUGUUGCUCCAAGCAUUGGACCUGCCAAAGAGAUUGCAGGGUCCUCAGUAAUUCUGACAGCACAGCAAAAUGCCUCUGGUCUGGAGACCUCUGCAGCAAUGAAACGCUGCUGGGCUUAGCUGAGAUCUCCAGGUAAGAGCAAGAAAUCCCCUAAAGAUUUAGGGCUGAGGAUGGAAGGUUGAAAGGACUACAGAGGUUUUAUGUAUUUCAUGCUGCUUAAUUUCUUAACAGAUCACGCUCACAUGAAAAAGAAGAAGCAUCUCUUGUUAAGUCACUGAAAAAAUAUCAUGAUAAUGUGAUCAAUGCUGGUCCCCUUUGCCUCCAAACAUAUUGAGAUAAAGGCUGAAAACCCACCACAGCUCAUGCCCAGAUGUCUGGGGGGAAUGGAAUUCUGAUUUACUGCCUCAGAGUGGCACAAAUCACUCCCCUCAAACCUGUAGGAUUGCACCACGGUGAAGUCUGAGCAAUGAAUCACAGUCUUGGUUUGUAUUUCAAAGCAGUGCAGAUGAGAACGACGGGAGCUCUACAGAAUAACUGAAAUAAUUAGGCUCCAUGUGAGGUCUCAGAGUCCCUAUCUGCUAAGAGAGGAUACGUUGCAUUCUCAUCCACCCACUAUUCAAAUCUGGCACUCUUCUUUCCUAAUGCUUCCCAUUCUGAAGACUAAUGCUGAGUGUUCAACAGUUUUCACAUUCAAAGCUCUUGACUAACGUUAAUUAUUUAAUCCUCACCUCUCCUCAUUGCUCUGUGAAGGAAACCAAACUCCCUCCGUCAUGUUUUGGCUGUGAGCUCCAAUCUGUCAAUUGCCUUAACUCUGUCCUGGAGAUGAUUCAAUGCUGAUAUGAGUUCAUCUGUGCUAUGAGGAAGACGCAGCAUCAACAAUACACCAUAUAGUGAGAAAUGGGGGAUAGAGGCUAUCAGGCCUCCAUCUCCUCCUUGGGCUUCAGCUUUGACCACGAGAGCAGCACUGAAUCAAUGAGACGGAGUGCUCAGGUCUGAGAACUGCACAAAUACAUGGGGGAGAGACAGCAUCAUUCCCAGCUUCUCAUCUGAGCAGAGGGCAGCCAAGCAAAGCAGCAGUGCUCAGAUGCUCAUAGUUGGGUUUGUGCGCGUUAAGGUCUUCCAGGUGUUGCUGUUGGAGACCUCCUCCUUCCUUACAGCGUAACACAUGUCCAUAGACAUCAAGUUAGCAGUGCAGUCUGGUGACUGGCUGCUUUGUCCUGGCACAGAAACAGCAUCAGGCUAUGUGUGUGUGCGCAUGUGUGAGGCCAGGCAGCUCAGUGGCAUGAGGAAGUGGCCACUGGGGCUACCAGUAGCCAAUUGGGCCAUUUGUUCUCUCCAUCUGAGGCAUCUUCAGGAUUGCAUCCUUCAGCGGGACUGUGGUCAGCGGGGCUGGGAUCAAACUGUGGGGUUGGAUGUAGAGAACAGACUCUCAUUUUAUGGCAGCUUCCCUGUUUGCUGCUAGAAUAGUCAACGUUUGCAUUGGCUGCUGAUCCAAGUCUCUCCCUGACCCUCAAAUGAAGUCUUGGUUCCUGACCUCACUCCUGAUGGUUUGUUGCUCUUUUUUCCUCUACCUAAAUCUCUGGUUUUUACCCUGUUCUCAAACCAUUCCCACCCACUGGGCGGAACUGCUUUCAUCCUGCCAUCCUACACAGCAUCCCUCUUCUGCAGAAAUCCUUUGCGAAGUCAUGGAACACGAGCUUUGCAGCAGAAGAAUCACCCAAAUCAAGCCUCAUUUCCUGGAAGAAUAAAUGCAGAAGUGACCAAAGCUUGAACCUUGGAGGCCUCUGCAUCUGAGCUGCUCAGCGUGAAGGCAGAGCUCCAGGCAGGGAUUCCGUCAUUUGGCUGUUGACUGUCUCCCACUUGCACAUAUCUGGAUCAAAUGGAAAGGCAAUGCUAGCAGAUCUGGAACAGCCUGUUGGAAACCCAUCAGCAGCAAACUCCUGUAGUUAUUGUUGUCAAUUAUCCGAGGAAUUAGCAGCUCGGGCUUCAGACCAUCUGAAUUCCUGAUUAAAAAGACAAGUUCUCUGCGACGAGGAAGUGCCAUUAACUUUCUUCUGGAAUGAAGGCCCGAGGCAGGUGGCUGAAAUUUCCCACUUACGUACCACUUGAAGCUGCAGCCUUCAAAGCUAACUGCAGAAGCUGCAGGUGCUGAAGUCAAAGCCACUUAACUAAGGAGGGUUAUUUGUGUCUUCUAUCCAUCAGGCUCUGUAAUGCAGACUUAUCAGCAGGUCACCAGGUUGGGUUUAAUCAGGAAAUCUAGAGGCUGUCACUUCUUCUAUCUCCAUUUGUGUGGAACAGGCUGGUGCCUGUGGUCAGGCUCACGUACAUUCUGUCACCGUGUGGUCUUCUCCCAUCUCCCCUGCACCCAUCCUUUCACCCAAGGUCUGGUUUCUGAGCAGGGCUCGGUGCAGACACCCUCCCCAACCUUAUGUUCUGGGUGGUUGAAGGACCAGGGCAGCAGCACAUGCAACACAUCACUGUCCAGGUGAUUUCCAAACCACUCAUUCUCAAAAUCCAAGCCAAGAUCAGUGCUUAGGAAAGCAGAGCUGCAGAAGCUGCUGUGUUCCUCUGUGUAGGGUCAGCCCCUGGCAGUGCUGUACACUGUUGGCACACGGAGGUGAACAGCUCUUCCUUGGGAUGGAUCCCCUCCUUCCCUACAUGAGGUCAGGUCCUCUUAAAGGUUGACUUAAAGAAAAUAGUACUGAAAAAGAAAAAAAUCCUAAGCUGUAGUAGCUUGGCAUCGAGUGCUGGUAUUGUAGACUGCAAUGAAGCAAUCCUAGGAGAUUACCAUCUGUUUACAGAGCACCAGGGCUUUGCAGAAACCUGCCUUGGCUGGAUGAGUUGUUUUCCUUUGAGAAAAAUCUUCUGCCUUCCCGUGGCUCUUUAAGAGAUGAAAGCGACACUUUCUUGGCUGAGCAUGCAACCCCUCGUAGUGCAAACCGCAGAGAAGGGAGGUGGGUGGGGGGUAUCCCCUGCCCACCACCACGCAGCUACGAAGAUGAAUUUCCAGCUGUCUCUUUGCAGCCAGGGAGGAAUUUGAGCGGCCACUGUAGUCAGUGUUACUGCCCAUGGCCAUAUGUCCAUUGCAGGACCAAGGCCUGCUCCAUCCAGCACCGUCCUCUGGCCGUGUCCAUACUGCCCCGGCAGGAAGGUCCCUGUCCCUGCUGUGCUGCCCAGGGUGACCAGCACAGCACAGGAGAUGCACGGGCUGCUGACCACAGCCACGGCCCAGCUUCACCUAGAGGUGAUGGCAGUCCUUGUGCUAAGAGAUAGCACUGAAGGAAUAUCUAAUUGGGUAAUUAGUCUCACAUUUGGAGCCUGGCAGUGGUUCACUGAAGGCCUUCACGAGCCUCAUGGCAGUGUCUGCAUCUGCUUCCCCACCACCACCACCACCCCCAUCACCACACCGCAGCAGCUCCCCAUACCUUCUCAAUCAGGGUCACAAACUGGUUGUUGAGCAGCUUGAUGUCCUCCUUCUCCUGCUCCCGCACAGCAUGAAAGUCGGUGUCGAUGUCAAGAUGCACGGGGGCCAGGAGCCUGCCGUCAAUGGAGAGGUAAGAGGAGCUCUGGUACCCACCAUCUCCAUAGGGGGCCCCACAGCUGGGGCUGGUCACACUGCUGGGACUGCAGUGGCCCAGGCUGUCUGGGGACGUGCUGCCUGCUCUGCCUUGGCUCAUCCUCCCUGAUGCCUCCCAGGAGCAGAGGGAGCCACUGCUGAAGGCUUUGCAGAGGUUAGUCAUGCUCAGCUCGUGGCUCUGCAGCUCUAGGGGAGGAGAAAGGAGGUAGGGAAA